GGACUAACCUCUGGUGUACCAGUUGUACUGCCAAGUACACAUCGGGGUAGCUAUGUUGGGAUUGGAUAAACGCUGAAAGCAUCUAAGUGUGAAGCCAGCUCCGAGAUGAGAUUUCCCUCUUUUGAUAAGGGCACUGGAAGACUACCAGUUGAUAGGCCGGGCGUGUAAGUGGUGAGAGCCAUUCAGCUUACCGGUACUAAUGCCCGAAGACUUGACCAC
rnacentral:rRNA from 1 species